CGGUGACGACCAGCUUGCUGGUCUGAUCAGUGGCGAACGGGUGAGUAACACGUGAGCAACCUGCCCUUCACUCUGGGAUAAGCCUUGGAAACGAGGUCUAAUACCGGAUAUGAGACGCACCGGCAUCGGUAGCGUCUGGAAAGAUUUAUCGGUGAGGGAUGGGCUCGCGGCCUAUCAGCUUGUUGGUGGGGUGAUGGCCUACCAAGGCGACGACGGGUAGCCGGCCUGAGAGGGCGACCGGCCACACUGGGACUGAGACACGGCCCAGACUCCUACGGGAGGCAGCAGUGGGGAAUAUUGCACAAUGGGCGAAAGCCUGAUGCAGCGACGCCGCGUGAGGGAUGACGGCCUUCGGGUUGUAAACCUCUUUCAGCAGGGAAGAAGCGCAAGUGACGGUACCUGCAGAAGAAGCGCCGGCUAACUACGUGCCAGCAGCCGCGGUAAUACGUAGGGCGCAAGCGUUGUCCGGAAUUAUUGGGCGUAAAGAGCUCGUAGGCGGUUUGUCGCGUCUGCUGUGAAAUCCUCAGGCUCAACCUGGGGCUUGCAGUGGGUACGGGCAGACUAGAGUGCGGUAGGGGUGACUGGAAUUCCUGGUGUAGCGGUGGAAUGCGCAGAUAUCAGGAGGAACACCGAUGGCGAAGGCAGGUCACUGGGCCGCAACUGACGCUGAGGAGCGAAAGCAUGGGGAGCGAACAGGAUUAGAUACCCUGGUAGUCCAUGCCGUAAACGUUGGGCACUAGGUGUGGGGCUCAUUCCACGAGUUCCGUGCCGCAGCAAACGCAUUAAGUGCCCCGCCUGGGGAGUACGGCCGCAAGGCUAAAACUCAAAGAAAUUGACGGGGGCCCGCACAAGCGGCGGAGCAUGCGGAUUAAUUCGAUGCAACGCGAAGAACCUUACCAAGGCUUGACAUGCACCGGUAACACUCAGAGAUGGGUGCCCCGCAAGGUCGGUGUACAGGUGGUGCAUGGUUGUCGUCAGCUCGUGUCGUGAGAUGUUGGGUUAAGUCCCGCAACGAGCGCAACCCUCGU
rnacentral:rRNA from 1 species